AGCGGCGGACGGGUGAGUAACACGUGGGCAACCUGCCUGUAAGACUGGGAUAACUUCGGGAAACCGAAGCUAAUACCGGAUAGGAUCUUCUCCUUCAUGGGAGAUGAUUGAAAGAUGGUUUCGGCUAUCACUUACAGAUGGGCCCGCGGUGCAUUAGCUAGUUGGUGAGGUAACGGCUCACCAAGGCAACGAUGCAUAGCCGACCUGAGAGGGUGAUCGGCCACACUGGGACUGAGACACGGCCCAGACUCCUACGGGAGGCAGCAGUAGGGAAUCUUCCGCAAUGGACGAAAGUCUGACGGAGCAACGCCGCGUGAGUGAUGAAGGCUUUCGGGUCGUAAAACUCUGUUGUUAGGGAAGAACAAGUACAAGAGUAACUGCUUGUACCUUGACGGUACCUAACCAGAAAGCCACGGCUAACUACGUGCCAGCAGCCGCGGUAAUACGUAGGUGGCAAGCGUUAUCCGGAAUUAUUGGGCGUAAAGCGCGCGCAGGCGGUUUCUUAAGUCUGAUGUGAAAGCCCACGGCUCAACCGUGGAGGGUC
rnacentral:rRNA from 2 species